AUACGGAGGGUGCAAGCGUUACUCGGAAUCACUGGGCGUAAAGCGCGCGCAGGCGGCCAUUUAAGUUGGAUGUGAAAGCCUACGGCUCAACCGUAGAACUGCAUCCAAAACUAUUUGGCUAGAGUGUGGGAGAGGAAGAUGGAAUUAGUUGUGUAGGGGUAAAAUCCGUAGAGAUAACUAGGAAUACCAAAAGCGAAGGCAAUCUUCUGGAACAUUACUGACGCUGAGGCGCGAAAGCGUGGGGAGCAAACAGGAUUAGAUACCCCUGUAGUCC
rnacentral:rRNA from 1 species